GACGUACGCUGGCGGCGUGCUUAACACAUGCAAGUCGAACGAAGUGGCGCACGGGUGAGUAACGCGUAAGCAACCUGCCCUUCAGGGGGGGACAACAGUUGGAAACGACUGCUAAUACCGCAUACUGAAGGAGGGGAUUGCGUCGGAUUAGCUAGUUGGAGGGGUAACGGCCCACCAAGGCGAUGAUCAGGAGCCUGUCUUGGGGGGUGAACGGCCACAUUGGGAAUUGGACACGGCCCAGACUCCUAAGGGAGGCAGCAGGGGGGAAUCUUUCGCCAUGGACGAAAGUCUGACGGAGCAACGCCGCGGGAGUGAUGACGGCCUUCGGGUUGUAAAGCUCUGUUAAUCGGGACGCGGUACCGGAAUAGAAAGCCACGGCUAACUACGUGCCAGCAGCCGCGGUAAUAC
rnacentral:rRNA from 1 species